UGGGGAAUAUUGGACAAUGGGCGCAAGCCUGAUCCAGCAAUGCCGCGUGUGUGAAGAAGGCCUGCGGGUUGUAAAGCACUUUCAGUGGGGAGGAAGGCCUCAAUGCUAAUAGUAUUGAGGAUUGACGUUACCUACAGAAGAAGCACCGGCUAACUCUGUGCCAGCAGCCGCGGUAAUACAGAGGGUGCAAGCGUUAAUCGGAAUUACUGGGCGUAAAGGGCGCGUAGGUGGUUAAUUAAGUCAGAUGUGA
rnacentral:rRNA from 1 species